GCUUAUUCAAAUCUGUUUAACAAUCUUGAUGCAGUUCUUGAUUUUGGAAUCAGAAAAGAAAUUACCAAUUUGAAUUUUAUCCUCGGAGUAUCAAUUGCAAAAGCACAACUUGAGAUUUUAGAGAAACAUGUACAUGAAAAACAUUUACAACAUAUUCAGCCAACAGUUGAAGUUUUAUGUAAGAAAUGUGAGAAUUUAAUCGACAGAGCAAAAGAUAACAAGGAACCAUUGACGUUAGCACUCGACUCAAAGCUUUGGAAUGUGAGCACUUGUCCUGGAUGUCAGCUUAGUCUUCCUCCAUCUCCAUCUCUACACUUGGCCAAACAAGAUCUUGCACUCAAUCCACAACUCUCUGAUGAGUGCAUCAGUCUUCUCCUCACUCUAUGUCUCUCACCACCCAGAUGUGUCAUUGCUGAAUUGUCAGAUAAUGCCACAAAUUAUCUAAUAACUCAUCAAGUUCUGUACUGGAUCAUAUUCAACCAGAAAUGCACAACUAAACUGGUUAAUUCUACAGUUACUGAGCAGAUCUUGAAACAUAAGUGUAGCAUGACUUUUCAAGAACACCAC